rnacentral:rRNA from 1 species
UACCAGACUCCUACGGGAGGCAGCAGUGGGGAAUAUUGCACAAUGGGGGAAACCCUGAUGCAGCAACGCCGCGUGAGUGAAGAAGUCAUUCGUGAUGUAAAGCUCUAUCAGCAGGGAAGAAAAUGACGGUACCUGAGUAAGAAGCCCCGGCUAACUACGUGCCAGCAGCCGCGGUAAUACGUAGGGGGCAAGCGUUAUCCGGAUUUACUGGGUGUAAAGGGAGCGUAGACGGCCAGGCAAGUCUGAAGUGAAAAGCCAGGGCUUAACGUUGGAAGUGCUUUGGAAACUGCCGGGCUAGAGUGCAGGAGGGGUAGGCGGAAUUCCUAGUGUAGCGGUGAAAUGCGUAGAUAUUAGGAGGAACACCAGUGGCGAAGGCGGCUUGCUGGACUGCAACUGACGUUGAGGCUCGAAGGCGUGGGGAGCAAACAGGAUUAGAUACCCCAGUA